UAUAAUGAUGAAAUAUCAUCAACCCUGGUCUUAUUCCAUUUGUUAAACAAUAUAUUCAACUUGAUGAUUAAAACUAUUGAUGUAACAUUAUUACUGAGGAUGUACAUGCAGGAUAAAUAGUUAAGGAAUUCUUCGUUUAUGAAU